CACUCUGUGUGGGGAACAUGAGAGCCAGACCAAAGCUCAGAGGAACCAGCCUGGACCUCCACCCAGAAGUGUGUCCUCUAAGAGCAAACGGGUGAAGCAUUUCUUUCGUAAUUUAGGGCAAAAAAAGUCAUCUGACAAAAACGUCAAUGAGAAACCAUCCAGCUCUGUGUCCUUAAAGAGUGACUGGUCCAAUCAUCGAUUCAUUGGUUUUAAAUCCCAGCCUGUGUCUUCUGCAGAGAGAGGUCAGAGGUCACAGUCUGCAGGAUCCAGCUGUCCGUC